UACGUAGGGGGCAAGCGUUGUCCGGAUUUAUUGGGCGUAAAGAGCGUGUAGGCGGCCAUACAGGUCCGUUGUGAAAACUGGAGGCUUAACCUCCAGACGUCGAUGGAAACCGUAUGGCUAGAGUCCGGAAGAGGAGAGUGGAAUUCGUGGUGUAGCGGUGAAAUGCGCAGAUAUCAGGAAGAACACCCGUGGCGAAGGCGGCUCUCUGGGACGGUACUGACGCUGAGACGCGAAAGCGUGGGGAGCGAACAGG
rnacentral:rRNA from 1 species